AUUGAACGCUGGCGGCAGGCUUAACACAUGCAAGUCGAGCGGAGUGAUGGUGCUUGCACUAUCACUUAGCGGCGGACGGGUGAGUAAUGCUUAGGAAUCUGCCUAUUAGUGGGGGACAACAUCUCGAAAGGGAUGCUAAUACCGCAUACGUCCUACGGGAGAAAGCAGGGGAUCACUUGUGACCUUGCGCUAAUAGAUGAGCCUAAGUCGGAUUAGCUAGGUGGUGGGGUAAAGGCCUACCAAGGCGACGAGCUGUAGCGGGUCUGAGAGGAUGAUCCGCCACACUGGGACUGAGACACGGCCCAGACUCCUACGGGAGGCAGCAGUGGGGAAUAUUGGACAAUGGGGGGAACCCUGAUCCAGCCAUGCCGCGUGUGUGAAGAAGGCCUUAUGGUUGUAAAGCACUUUAAGCGAGGAGGAGGCUCUUUUGGUUAAUACCCAAGAUGAGUGGACGUUACUCGCAGAAUAAGCACCGGCUAACUCUGUGCCAGCCGCCGCGGUAA
rnacentral:rRNA from 1 species